rnacentral:lncRNA from 1 species
UCUCGUUUGGGGCAAAAUCCGCCAUGAAGUUGAUUAAUGAGACUAUGCCAAUCUUUAACACAAGCUUCCAAGCUCCCAUUGCCAUCAACUGCAAGAAAAAUAAACAAAUAUUCAAAUUUGGAAAAAAAAAAAAAAAGGGAGAAAAACGAAAUCAGCUUCUUUGGGCUUUCAGAGAAGAAUUCUAUGAUUUUGGGCCAAGUUUUAUGGGUGAAAGAUUAAUUUAAAAAGCCCAACAUUACCAGACUCAUUUUAAGAAAGCCCAAUCCUUCUCCCCUAACAAUCGGUUCUUUCUCAUUCUCUCUCACUCCCUCUUUCAAACGCCGCUCAAGACCUCUCUCUCGCCCAAUCUGUCUCUUCACGAGCUCCACCGCGAGCUGCUCCGGCGAGGACGACGGCCAGCUAAGGGCGCUGCUUCUCGGCUGUUUCCUCCUCUCCUCAAUUUGUCUCCCUCAAGCCAGAUGAAGGGAUGGGAAAAGAAGCCCUGAUUUCGUCAAAAUCAGAAAUCGCUGUUGCUGCUCUCC